UUCAGCUCCCCCAACAUCUCUGGGUUGGAAAGCAUGUGGGAGAGAAGAGAAUGAGAAUGGUCAUGACUGACUGAAGAGUCCUUUUUCCCUUAUCAGUGUGGAGCCUAGGUUUAUUGCUCCAUGCAUUUUUAACGCAAUAGACUGACUCCAAUGCACAGGCAGCUUUGAACUUCGAAGCAAGAGCUUCCUCACCUUUUCUACCCCAUAAAUCUCAGGAAUGAAACCUGUACAGAUAUUUUUGCUGUUGGCUAAAGUUUUGGUAUGAUCUCCAAACAGAAACAGCUCAUUAAGGCGUGCAUACUGCUCUGUCUACUGAAACUGCCUUCCAACCCAACAUACAAGCAUGUAUGUGUGAGUAAUAACACAGAGAACAACUCCCAGCACUUCAGGUGAGUCAGGAUCUGAAACAACUGCAUGUCAAGUGGAACAUUUGGAUUUCUAGGCUGGGCAACAGGAAAAGCCUGCAGUGAGCCUGGAAGAAAUUC
ensembl:lncRNA